rnacentral:piRNA from 1 species
AGCUUACUCAGCCUGUUGUGGAAAACAUGU